GGAUUAUACAGUCAGAUGGAGAUGGAUAUGGGAACUAGUGAACAAGUAGAAGAAGAAACUAAGAAGUUAAAGGCUAGUGGUUGUU
rnacentral:sRNA from 1 species